UGCGGAAAGGCACAUGUGUCCAAAAAAUGUACAUAAGCCCAAGGUUCUUUGGAAGGAUAUUCUAACAGGACAAUGGAAAGGUCCUGACCCAGUGAUUGUCUGGAGUCGGGGGUCUGUUUGUGUGUUUCCACAGGGAGAACAGCAGCCGAUUUGGAUUCCAGAGAGACUAACUAAAGUGAUUUCUACAGACCAAAAAGAAGAUGACUUGGCUUAAAUCCAUAACAGCUGAUAUCCAGAACUUCAGUUUAGCUAUCCUUACAUCUGCGACAGUGGUUUUCUCACACCUGGAGGCUAAUGAAUAAUGAACACCAUUAAGUCCUAUUUCAAAUGUAAAAAAACCUUGGGGCUUGCUUGUGGGAAUACCUUCAGACCCAUAUGCAAGUUAUAGGAAGAAGGAUGGGAUAUCAAAAGAAGAGUCAAACCCAGGUGGUAACCAGGAUGCUUUUUUCAAUAUCUAUUUUAUUAUUGCCUUCUCCCAGAUCAUGAAGUUGUAUUUUAUUUUUUGAGCUCAUACAGAUCUAGGUCAAUGUUUUUCUGAUCAGUUCUAUUAUUUGACUGUGGAGUUUUUAAACAUUGCAAUGGAGAUUUCACCUGUGAAAAGCUACAAGGCCUUUACUAUUAUGUGUUUUAUGUAUUGUGUUAUGUGUGCACACUUGUGUUUUGUGUUGUAUGUCUGUAUGUGCAUAUGUCCGUAUAUUAUAUAUGAGGAGUGCUCAUGAAAAAAUGGAUCCAAAUUUUUUUUUUUAUUCACGUGAUUUAAAUGGUUUAAUUUAAAUUGGGUAAACAGCUAUUGAGGAUUGUUUUAAAAUGUGAACAAAAAAGGAGGUUAGCAGAUCUGUUUGUUUACUUUCACCUUUCCUUUUCAUUAUAUCUAAUUCUAUUCAGGAUACUAAAUUGUUUAGAAAAUUGCUUUUUUUUAGUGCCUGCUGGAAUGUUACAUAAUUUUUUUUUAGCCAUCAUUGCCAGAAUUCCUAUCUUCAUCCCAGUGCCAGUGAAGACAAAGAUAAAACCAAACUACAGCUUCUGCAAUAGCUAUCACAACAAACUGUAUAAACUGAUGCAUCAGUGAAUAAUGUAACUCAACAAGUGAUGCUCAGUCAAGGAGUCGAAUUACUUUGGGAGGAAAUGGACAUAUUAAUGGAUUCCUCUGCUUUGAACUACUUGCAAAACUUGCCUGCACUAUGUAUCACUUGUAUGCAUUGUGAACUAUCUGUUGGUGCAGCGAAUUGUGGUAGUGCCUGGGUAUCUUUGCUGUUGGUGUCAUCGAUGGUACAAUUUUUCCAAAAGGAGCCGUCAAUGGCUUGAUAUCAUGGCAUUUUGUAUCCUCCCCUUUCUGCUUUUAGCAGGUUGUUUAUGGUGUUUGUGUAAAAACCACUAUCCACAAGUAUAGCUAAAUGCUGGGCUGGUAGUCAAUGAUGGGUAAGAUCCAAUUGCAAUGGUACCAACCUAAGAGAGGAGGCUGACUCCUUGAGGUCAGCUCAUCCGAUGAUGGGUAAGGACCAUAUGUAGUAUUGGACAACCUAAGGCAGGCACGGUCCCUAAGCCACAUACUUGUUUAAUUAAACAGAAGGGGGGAGAUGUUGAGAGCCACAUCCAAGUCAAGAUGGCGCCUGGCAUUUUGCCAGAAGGAGUGGUUGAGAAGUAACGCCAGUGAGCCAUUAAGAUGAUGAUAAUUAAGUUAAUCUGUGUAUAAUUAUUAAGAUAAUGACUGAUUGCUGUAACUGGAUGAUGCUAAAUUGAAACAAGCUGUGUAUUCAGUUGUGUAUAUAAACCUCUGCUGUCCGUCAAUAAGGCGGCUCCUGCUACCUCGGGUGCCCGCUACUUUUGAGUUCUUGCAGAGUUCCCGUUGAGUUCCUGUUGAGUUCUCGUGGAGUUCCCGUUGGUUCUCGCGGAGUUUCCGUGGAGUUCUGGAGAGUUCCCGUUGGGUUCUGGCAAAAAAGUAGUUCCUGUUUGAACCUACAAGUGGCUCUUGACCUCCUGAUUUUGUGCCCAGCCAGACUGCGGCAAUAGAUGGUGUGACCACCGUCCUAUCCUGGUGGGAGCACAAGGUGUGGUCCUGAAGCACUAAUCAAUGUUCCUGAAGCACUAAUUAAAAUGUGUGCUAGGGGCAGUGGCUAAGAAGCUGAAAAUAAAGCUCAUUGGCGAAUGCUUGCCUUGCAUGUGCAUGGCCCUGAAUUAGAUCCCUAGCACUACCAAAAAAAAUUGUAUAUAUAUAUAUAUAUAUGGAUUUAUACUUAAGACUACUCAACUGAAACUACUCAACAUUGCUCUCAGAUAUUUGGUACUUGCAAAGGGGGACUAAAUAAUAUGAGGGGCCAGUGUUGCUGAGAAACAAAUGUCAUGCUCCUGAACAUUGCACUGAGACCAAGAGCUGAGCAGGGCUAUGGCUCCAUGUGACUGUAUGUCCCAUAUGAGUCCCCAUUAUUAUUGCCUAGAAUUCUGUGCUCGUAUAACUCAGAAUUACUUCAACUGGGCUGGGGAUGUGGCUCAAGCGGUAGCGCGCUCGCCUGGCAUGCUUGCGGCCUGGGUUCGAUCCUCAGCACCACAUACAAACAAAGAUGUUGUGUCCGCCGAAAAC
rnacentral:lncRNA from 1 species